rnacentral:rRNA from 1 species
AGCUCCAAUAGCGUAUAUUAAAGUUGUUGCAGUUAAAAAGCUCGUAGUCGGAGAUUUGGUCUGGGGCCGUGUGCCCAGCAAUGCUGCGUGUGCACGACGUGCUGGAGGGUUUCCUUUGGUGCGGUUGCCCUGGCCUUUCCUUCUGGGGUCGGGUCCCUUUGGGGUUCGGGUUCAGGACGUUUACUGUGAAAAAAUUAGAGUGUUUCAAGCAGGCAAGUUUGCUGUGAAUACAUGAGCAUGGAAUAAUAGAAUAGGACUUUGGUCUUGUUUUGUUGGUUUCUGAGACUAAAGUAAUGAUUAAUAGGGACAGUUGGGGGCAUUCGUAUUUCAUUGUCAGAGGUGAAAUUCUUGGAUUUAUGAAAGACGAACCGCUGCGAAAGCGUCUGCCAAGGAUGUUUUC